rnacentral:rRNA from 1 species
GAUGAACGCUGGCGGCGUGCCUAAUACAUGCAAGUCGAGCGAACAGAUAAGGAGCUUGCUCCUUUGACGUUAGCGGCGGACGGGUGAGUAACACGUGGGUAACCUACCUAUAAGACUGGAAUAACUCCGGGAAACCGGGGCUAAUGCCGGAUAACAUUAGAACCGCAUGGUUCUAAAGUGAAAGAUGGUUUUGCUAUCACUUAUAGAUGGACCCGCGCCGUAUUAGCUAGUUGGUAAGGUAACGGCUUACCAAGGCAACGAUACGUAGCCGACCUGAGAGGGUGAUCGGCCACACUGGAACUGAGACACGGUCCAGACUCCUACGGGAGGCAGCAGUAGGGAAUCUUCCGCAAUGGGCGAAAGCCUGACGGAGCAACGCCGCGUGAGUGAUGAAGGUCUUCGGAUCGUAAAACUCUGUUAUUAGGGAAGAACAAAUGUGUAAGUAACUGUGCACGUCUUGACGGUACCUAAUCAGAAAGCCACGGCUAACUACGUG